rnacentral:misc_RNA from 1 species
GAUGAAGAACGCAGCAAAAUGCGAUAAGUAGUGUGAAUUGCAGAAUUCAGUGAAUCAUCGAAUCUUUGAACGCACAUUGCGCCCUUUGGUAUUCCUUGGGCAUGCCUGUUCGAGCGUCAUUUUCACCUUCAAGCACAGCUUGGUGUUGGGCGUCUGUCCUCAGGGACUCGCCUCAAAAGGAUUGGCAGCCACUCCAGCGGCUUUGAGCGCAGCAGAUUUGCGUCCUCUAGCAGUGGGAGAUGGCAUCCAUAAGCUUACUUUUUAUUUUGACCUCGGAUCAGGUAGGGAUACCCGCUGAACUUAAGCAUAUCAAUAAGCGGAGGA